UAAAAAGCAAUGAUGAAGAAUAGUAAAAAUCGCACUUUCAGAGAGAAAAUCCAUGGCUGUAAGAUUUUCAAUAGAUUUUGAACCAGCUUCGGAGCAAUAGGCAAAAACUAUCGGUUUAAUACCGUUAUCAUUAUUAGAGAAUCAAUUUAGGUGGUACCGCGAUUAAUAAUUCGCCCUAAUA
rnacentral:ncRNA from 1 species